GCCGAAGUGGCGGAAUUGGUAGACGCGCUAGAUUCAGGGUCUAGUAGGGAGUAGUCCCUGUGGGGGUUCAAGUCCCCCCUUCGGCACCA
rnacentral:tRNA from 1 species